rnacentral:rRNA from 1 species
AGUGAACGCUGGCGGUAGGCCUAACACAUGCAAGUCGAACGGCAGCACAGUAAGAGCUUGCUCUUACGGGUGGCGAGUGGCGGACGGGUGAGGAAUACAUCGGAAUCUACUUUUUCGUGGGGGAUAACGUAGGGAAACUUACGCUAAUACCGCAUACGACCUACGGGUGAAAGCAGGGGAUCUUCGGACCUUGCGCGAUUGAAUGAGCCGAUGUCGGAUUAGCUAGUUGGCGGGGUAAAGGCCCACCAAGGCGACGAUCCGUAGCUGGUCUGAGAGGAUGAUCAGCACACACUGGAACUGAGACACGGUCCAGACUCCUACGGGAGGCAGCAGUGGGGAAUAUUGGACAAUGGGCGCAAGCCUGAUCCAGCCAUACCGCGUGGGUGAAGAAGGCCUUCGGGUUGUAAAGCCCUUUUGUUGGGAAAGAAAAGCAGCAGGUUAAUACCCCGCUGUUCUGACGGUACCCAAAGAAUAAGCACCGGCUAACUUCGUG